CCCUGAUCCGCAGGCAGUGUUUUAGCCUCCACGACGCAGUGGAAUUAACUCCUCUGUGGAGCCUGGCCACGUCGUCACGGUGUCCGGCCCCCAGCUAGAGCUGUGGGGAAAAGGAUCAAGGGAAUAACUGGUCCGCCAAACAAACCGAAACCACAGUAGAGGCUCAUGUCCACAGUUCCCUCUUCUGUCUCCUGACUCACCCCAGUGCUUCCCUGUGUGGCCCUCCAUACGUGGUAUGCCCUCUUCUCUUGAGAACUCGUCAGCAGCUCGCCUGAAGUCAGCGUUGUAGCCUGGAAAAGGCUGGAUGAGUGUUUGCUCACCACUGGACAUAAAAAAUAAUCUGCAUGUUUGAAAAGGAUGUGCUGAACUCGUGACCUGUAAUAAACGGUUAGUGCUUAGUCUUUAAAACGCAGGUAAGAGUCUUCUCCUGUGCUUUUUCCAGAAACGAAUAAGCCAAGAAAGCCCAUGGUACA